rnacentral:rRNA from 1 species
UACAGAGGGGGCAAGCGUUGUUCGGAAUUACUGGGCGUAAAGGGCGCGUAGGCGGCCUGUUAAGUCGAACGUGAAAUCCCCGGGCUCAACCCGGGAACUGCGUCCGAUACUGGCAGGCUUGAAUUCGGGAGAGGGAUGUGGAAUUCCAGGUGUAGCGGUGAAAUGCGUAGAUAUCUGGAGGAAUACCGGUGGCGAAGGCGGCAUCCUGGACCGGCAUUGACGCUGAGGCACGAAAGCGUGGGGAGCAAACAGG